CGUAGAGCCGCCUACCACUCCCAUGGCGUUCCCAGCCUGUGCCGGGCUGGGCCUGCACUGAUUUAUGUGGCAGUCCUGUGUCAUACUCUCGACCUGAAAAGGAUUUGCACUCCUAUAUUUACCAGGGUGGUCAGGGCAGCCCUCUGGAAACACAGAAAGCCCAGUCUCCGGGCCUCGCUCCCAGACAGUCGUUUCACAACUCUGUGCCAAUAACGUGGACAUUUUGGACCUUACCAGAAUCGGAUGAGGCUCCAGUGUUUCCGUAGCGGGAUGUUUUAGCGGUGCAGAGGUCAGAGUCGACGCGCUCGCGUCUACGCAGCCACAUGGCCACGUUUUGGUAUGCAGAUACACAGACGCAGGAGUGGGGAGAGAAAGCCUGGUGUGGGAUCAGACCAUAAUUUAAAACCUGACCUCAUAGGCUCUUCAAAGUGUCUGUGAGCGUGGAUAUUUAGGACGUCCUUACAGCGUGUGUGAGAGACCCAAACCACAACAACAUGAACAACAAAUAACACACACAUGCAUGGGUCGCACCUGAUUGUACUGUGCUCCUUCACCAAUCAAAGCCUGCAGGAAGUGAGGCAUUUUUUUUCUCCAUUGUGCUCCCAUGGCCAGGGUUGGGACUCACUAAUGGCUCGACGGCCUCACUGUGCAGGCUGCUGGCGAAGAGAAACCAGGGGGAGAAGGAAAAGGAAGAAGAAGAAGAAGCAGGAGGAGGAGAACGGGGAAGAGAGGGAGGAAAAAUGAGUCGCUAAAGAGCAAGGGGUUGCCCUGAAGGUUAACAUCUCAAUCAUGAGGGGACAAUGCUCUCUAGUCAAAUGGUUUCGGCUUCUUGAAAGUCAAGAUGAAGCCACAGGGCACAACAGUGUCAAAGAGGCAGCCGGGAGAUCGGCUCUCUGCACCGCAGGAUGACCAGGACACGUGUGUUUGAGGUGGCAGGUUGCUGUGUUUACGUGUGCACGCCACACACACCCCCACCUUGCGUGCUGGAAACAGCUAUAACCUCACAACAUACAGAAGGACUGGGGGUGGGAUAUCAGUUUCACUUUAUUUUUUUCUGACAAAUGACACUCUGACAGUUGGAAAAAAUGUUGGGGUCCCUGAACAGAUUUCUCAGUUACAAAAAUAAAAUGUGUUGGAUCAGACAAAGACAGACAUUUUACAUUCUACUUUUGAACCCCAAUGAGAGCACUGACAAAUGCCACCCCACCCCCACUCCGUCUGUGCCAUGAUUGUUUUUUCUCUCCAGAAAUGUCAUAUAGUUAAGAGGUGAUAAUUCUAUAUGGCACAAACAGACACUGACUUCUUCCAAGUGUACAUAGCAUAUAGGCUGACAGAUUGAGAUGGUGUAACAUGUCUUUGCAUCACUCUAAAUAGGCAUGCGAGCUUUAAACAUUCUUUAUAUACCCUGAGAUUCCAUUGGAAACCUUCUGAAAUGGAAAAAAGAACUCAAAUGCAUUGCACUGGAGGUGAAAAAAAAUGUUCAGAGGUUAAAAAUAGCGCAGACCUCAGUGAUACGUGAAAAACUGUAGUACUCUUAUGUGUGUGCAGGUGUAGCCUACAUUCACGAAAACUCUCGAAAUGCAGAAAACUGCAUUGAUACACAUCGUACUGAAUCCCCUGAGGGUUGAUGUUAACGCUUAGUCUGCAGCGCAACAGAUCCUAUGUUAAAUGCACAUUUAAAGAAACGCUUAUGUCAGUUUCUAUGAAUCUUGUGAUGCAUUUUUUUUGCUUCCAACAGUUUAAAGAGAAACUUUUGUCAGAUUUAUGUCACGUCAACACUUGAAUUUAGCGUCUUUCAGAGCCCUUAUGUUUUAAGUUAGGUUAAACAUGAAAUGCAAAACUUAAU
ensembl:lncRNA